rnacentral:rRNA from 1 species
GCCCAGACUCCUACGGGAGGCAGCAGUGGGGAAUCUUCCGCAAUGGGCGAAAGCCUGACGGAGCAAUGCCGCGUGAGUGAUGAAGGAAUUCGUUCCGUAAAGCUCUUUUGUUUAUGACGAAUGUGCAGGUUGUGAAUAAUGACUUGUAAUGACGGUAGUAAACGAAUAAGCCACGGCUAACUACGUGCCAGCAGCCGCGGUAAUACGUAGGUGGCGAGCGUUGUCCGGAAUUAUUGGGCGUAAAGAGCAUGUAGGCGGUUUUUUAAGUCUGGAGUGAAAAUGCGGGGCUCAACCCCGUAUGGCUCUGGAUACUGGAAGACUUGAGUGCAGGAGAGGAAAGGGGAAUUCCCAGUGUAGCGGUGAAAUGCGUAGAUAUUGGGAGGAACACCAGUGGCGAAGGCGCCUUUCUGGACUGUGUCUGACGCUGAGAUGCGAAAGCCAGGGUAGCGAACGGGAUUAGAUACCCCGGUAGUCCUGGCCGUAAACGAUGGGUACUAGGUGUAGGAGGUAUCGACCCCUUCUGUGCCGGAGUUAACGCAAUAAGUACCCCGCCUGGGGAGUACGUCCGCAAGGAUGAAACUCAAAGGAAUUGACGGGGGCCCGCACAAGCGGUGGAGUAUGUGGUUUAAUUCGACGCAACGCGAAGAACCUUACCAAGGCUUGACAUUGAAUGACCGCUUCAGAGAUGGAGCUUUCCCUUCGGGGACAUGAAAACAGGUGGUGCAUGGCUGUCGUCAGCUCGUGUCGUGAGAUGUUGGGUUAAGUCCCGCAACGAGCGCAACCCCUAUCCUAUGUUACCAGCGGGUAAUGCCGGGGACUCAUAGGAGACUGCCAAGGACAACUUGGAGGAAGGCGGGGAUGACGUCAAGUCAUCAUGCCCCUUAUGUCUUGGGCUACACACGUACUACAAUGGUCGGCAACAGAGGGAAGCAAAGCCGUGAGGCAGAGCAAACCCCAGAAACCCGAUCUCAGUUCGGAUUGCAGGCUGCAACUCGCCUGCAUGAAGUCGGAAUCGCUAGUAAUCGCAGGUCAGCAUACUGCGGUGAAUACGUUCCCGGGCCUUGUACACACCGCCCGUCACACCACGAAAGUUGGUAACACCCGAAGCCGGUGGGGUAACCGUAAGGAGCCAGCCGUCUAAGGUGGGGCCGAUGAUUGGGGUGAAGUCGUAACAAGUUAGCCGUAUCGGAAGGUGCGGCUG